AGCUUGGACUACAGGAAGGAAUUAAGAUCUCGUUUCCUCACUGAAAUCCAGAAAGAAAAGAUUUUCUGCUGAAGAGAGGUACAAAGGAAUUGAAAGCCAACUAAGGUGGGCAUAAACAUCGAAAAAUCUGCUUCAACUUCAAAUGUGCAAACUGCUGGAGAAGCUACAACAUUAUAUUUUGCAUGCUUAUUCUUUAAAAUAUACUCGACAUUGCUGUAUAGAUUAUACAUUUAUCCAUAACAUUGUAUAAUUCAGAGUUACCCAUCUAGAGCAAAUAUAUCCUUUAUCUUAUGCAAUCAUGAUUUAAGAGAUUUUCACUGUGAUUCUUGUGACUUUUCCACAGUUGUUGAUUCUGCAAAGCCCUCAGAUAAAUCACAACUUAACCGUGUGUAUGUAUAAAGGUAGUUCUCCCCAUGACUUCGUUAUGUAAGAAUCAGCUAUAGCUCCUUUCUGACUUUAAAGACAGCAAGAACUUUUGAGCAUAUAAUUUUCAGUUGGCUAUAAAAAUAAUUUUUAAAAAUUGUGAAAGUAAUAGGAUAAUAUUUUAGAAAAUUGAGGAUAUAGAGAAAGAAAAAAAUACCACUCUAAUAAGUAAUGUUUUACCAUUUUCAAAAUAGUUCUUCCUGUUGUUUGUUGGAGCCUCUGAAGGGACUCCAUGUACAGAAACACCCCUCCCCACUUGGUUCUGAUCAAGUUAAUAAACUAAAACAAAAAAUAAGGCAGAGGAGGUCCAAAAAUUAUCUUUACUGUUGGGAUAAGGGCUCUUGGUCUGCCAUAUGGGUUGCUAAUAUUGAAUAUUGAUUGAACAUUGAAUAUUGCUAACAUUGAGUGUGCCAGCAAUACUAGCACAGUAGGCCUCUCUUUGAAGGGUCAGACUCCUGGAAUAUCAGAGGAACAUGAGUUCCCUGAAGCCAGGACAAUCCUAAGGGUGAAUUGAGUCAAACACCCUCAGUUAUUCUUUCCAAAUUUAGCAAUCAGUUAACCCAACUGACUCCACCUUUCUAGGGCCAGUGUAAAUAAAGGGAAGAGGGGAGGUUAAGAGGAGAGCUUAGAAGAAAAUCCUUUCCACAGAAAAUGGAAAUGGGAAAAGGUGUUUUGUUUUUAUGAGUUUUUAAAAAACAAACAGAAGAACAUAUUUCUACACUCAUAUAAAGAGAACAAAGCAAGAGUUUCAAUGGAGUCACGAUUGUUGUCAUAUGAAGACAAGUGUGUAAAAAAAAGAGUUCACACAGCAGGUUUGGGACUGCUAGUCUUAGAAAUGCCUGCUUGAAAGAUUGGCCUUUGGAUGGCAUCUGGAAAUUCGGGUUUCGAGAGGGUUUUCAUCAUGACCAGAACUGAUAAGAGAAGCUCACUGUGCGUAAAUUGUUCAAACAAUAUGAAUUAUGUGGAACUCUUGCUUUCCUUCUGGGAGUUCGGAAUUUUGAUAUAUGUUAAGCAGAGAGUGCCUACACAACCGGCCCCCAAUAAAAAUCUUGAGAAGUGAAUCUCUAACGAUCUUCCUUUAACUUAUUGCUGGGAUAAUAAGUGUGUCCCAUAGGAAUCCACUGGAAGAGGGCUCUUGGAAGCUUGUGUGUGGCCUCCUCUGGACUUUGCCCCAUGGGACUUUUCCUCUGCUGAUUUUGCUUUAGGCCCUUUUGCUGUAAUAGCUCUUCACUGUGACUUUAUACGAGGACCUUUGAGGCUUCCUAGAGUAUCACUGAACUGGGAGGUGUUCUUUGAGCCCUCCAAAACAACAUGGAUAGUGUGGUUUCUAUUGUUCCUUCAGUUCCCAGUGUUAAAUCAAGUUUAGCCUAAAGCUGC
rnacentral:lncRNA from 1 species